AGAACGAACGCUGGCGGCAUGCCUAACACAUGCAAGUCGAACGAGACCUUCGGGUCUAGUGGCGCACGGGUGCGUAACGCGUGGGAAUUUGCCUCGGGGUACGGAAUAACUCAGGGAAACUUGAGCUAAUACCGUAUGAUGUCUUCGGACCAAAGAUUUAUCGCCCUGAGAUAAGCCCGCGUAGGAUUAGCUAGUUGGUGAGGUAAGAGCUCACCAAGGCGACGAUCCUUAGCUGGUCUGAGAGGAUGAUCAGCCACACUGGGACUGAGACACGGCCCAGACUCCUACGGGAGGCAGCAGUGGGGGAAUAUUGGACAAUGGGCGAAAGCCUGAUCCAGCAAUGCCGCGUGAGUGAUGAAGGCCUUCGGGUUGUAAAGCUCUUUUGCCCGGGACGAUAAUGACGGUACCGGGAGAAUAAGCCCCGGCUAACUCCGUG
rnacentral:rRNA from 1 species